AAGUAUUACAGCUCUUUUAGAAUUUAGCUAUCAGGUUUAUCUAGAAGAUACCCUC
rnacentral:snRNA from 1 species